rnacentral:lncRNA from 1 species
AUAAUCUAUCUCCCAAGGCUGUCAUGAGAUUUAAAGGAGAGAAGGUUUAAAUAUAUUAUUAUUAUUAGUAGUAGUAGCUAUUAUUGUGAUUAUAGUACAAUAAACUCUUAGAAAACAUAGAGGAGCCUUUUAAUAACAUUAACUUUCAUGUAUGGGGCACUCUUUAAUGUGAUAUAUUUAUUAAUUUAUGGUCUAAUUUUCAUAUAUACAUUUUCCCAAUUUUUUCCCC